rnacentral:rRNA from 1 species
UACGAGGGGGGGGCGAGCGUUGUUCGGAAUUAUUGGGCGUAAAGGGCGCGUAGGCGAUUUGAAAAGUCUUGUGUGAAAGCCCCGAGCUUAACUCGGGAAGUGCACAAGAAACUGUUGAAUUUGAGUUCCGGAGAGGAAGGCAGAAUUCCCGGUGUAGCGGUGAAAUGCGUAGAUAUCGGGAGGAAUACCAGUGGCGAAGGCGGCCUUCUGGACGGAUACUGACGCUGAGGCGCGAAAGCCAGGGGAGCAAACGGGG